CUCACAUUAUCCUCCGUCAUGAUCCAUCACAAGUGACUAGAUAUAGUUACCUGUGCUAUACAGCAGGAUCUCCUUGCUUAUCCAUUCCACAUGCAAUAGUUUGCAUCUAUUAGCCCCAGAUUCCUAGUCCAUCCCACUCCCUCCCCCUCCUCCUUGGCAACCACAAGUGUGUUCUCCAAGUCCAUGAGUUUCUUUUAUGUAGAAAGGUUCAUUUGUGCCAUAUAUUAGAUGCCAGUUAUAAAUGACAUCAUAUGGUAUUUGUCUUUCUCUAUGACUUACUUCACUUAGAGUCUCUAGUUCCAUCCAUGUUGCUGCAAAUGGCAUUAUUUUGGUUUUUUUAAUGGCUGAGUAGUAUUCCAUUGUGUAUAUUUUCUUAAUCUAUUCAUCUAUCAGUGGACAUCUAUGUUGUUUCCAUGUCUUGGCCAUUGUGAAUAGUGCUGCAAUGAGCAUAUAUAGGUGCACGUAUCUUUUUCAAGGAAAGUUUUGUCCGGAUAUAUGCUCAAAAGUGAGAUUUCUGGGUCAUGUGGUUCCAUAUUUAAUUUUCUGAGGUACCUCCAUACUGUUUUCCACAGUGGUUGUUCCAAUUGACAUUCCCACCAACAGUGUAGGAGGGUUCCCUUUUCUCCACACCCUCUCCUGCGUUUGUUAUUUGUUGACUUGUUAAUGAUGGUCAUUCUGACUGGCGUGAGGUGGUACCUCAUAGUAUUUUUGAUUUGCAUUUCUCUAAUAAUUAGUGAUGUUGAGCAUUUUUUCAUGUGCCUGUUGGCCAUCUGUAUAUCUUCUUUGGAGAAAUGUCUAUUCACGUCUUUUGCCCAUUUUUCAAUUGGGUUGUUGGGUUUUUUUUUGCUGUUGAGUUGCAUAAGUUUUUGUAUAUUUUAGAUUAAGCCCUUGUCAGUUGCACUGUUUGAAAAUAUUUUCUCCGAUUCUGUAGGUUGUCUUUUUUUUAAUGAUUUCCUUUGCUAUGCAAAAGCUUGUCAGUUUGAUUAGGUCCCAUUGAUUAAUUUUUGCUUUUAUAUAUGUUGCCUUGGGAGAAUGACCUAAGGAAACAUUUGUACUUUGUAUAGAUGAUGUCAGAGAAUGUUUUUCCAGUGGUCUCUUCUAGGAGUUUGAUGGUGUCUUGUCUUAUAUUUAAGUCUUUCAGCCAUUUUGGGUUUCUUUUUGUGCAUGGUGUGAGGGUGUGUUCCAGUUUCAUUAUUUGCAUGCAGAUGUCUGGUUUUCCCAGCGCCACUUGGUGAAAAGACUGUCUUUCUCCCAUUUUAUAUUCUUGCCUCCUUUGUAAAAGAUUAAUUGACCAUAGGUGUCUGGGUUUAUUUCUGGGUUCUCUAUUCUGUUCCAUUGGUCUGUCCGUCUGUUUGGUAUCAGUACCACACUGUCUUGAUGACUACAGCUUUAUAAUAUUGUGUGAAGUCUGGAAGAGUUAUGCCUCCUUCUUGGUUUUUGUUCCUCAGGAUUGCUUUGGCAAUGCUGGGUCUUUUAUGGUUCCAUAUAAUUUUUUGGAUUGUUUGUUCUACUUCUGUGAAAAAUGUCAUGGGUAAUUUGAUAGGGAUUGCAUUGAAUUUGUAGAUUGCUUUGGGUAGUAUGGCCAUAUUUACAAUAUUAAUUCUUCCAACCCAGGACCAUAGAAUGUUUUUCCAUUUCUUUGAAUCCUCUUUAAUUUCCUUGAUUAAUGUUUUAUAGUUCUCAGCAUAUAAGUCUUUCACCUCCUUGGUCAGGUUUAUCAAUAUCUUAUAAUAACUUAUAAUGGAAGAGAAUGUAAAAAAAAAAAAAAGCAUAUAUAGGCAUUCCCAUUGUGGCUCAGUAGUAACAAACCCUAAUAGUAUCCAUGAGAAUGCAGGUUUGAUUCCUGGCCUCGUUCAGUGGGUUAAGGAUCCAGCAUUGCUGUGAGCUGUGGCUCAGAUCUGGCGUUGCUAUGGCUGUGGCUGGCAGCUUGUGAUAAUUGAAAAACAAAACACUGUAUUGAUCUUUUCUUGGCCUUGAGAUCACUAUUGAUGUUCAUGCCACUUCCCAAAAGGUGAAUAAGGUCUGCCACAUACGAGCUAUUAGAGCUUUGGCAUGUAAGUCCCUGCUCAAAGCCUCAGUGUGGUAAUCUGGAGAACAAGACUGAGGCUGACAAGGAAGGACUGAUGGAAGAAAAAUUCUCCAUAGACACCCGGCACAUUGUACAUCCACCACAGAGGGUAACUUUUAUUUGCUUAUUUUUUUAUGCAAAAUUCUAUCAGGCUUAGUUGGAGAUUUUUACUGACGCUUCAUGUUCAUGACAUUUUAGCUUUUGUUAUAAUAAAAAGUAAGUACUUAAGAUUGUUCAUAGCAGAUUUAUCCAUAAUAGCCCCAAACUGGAAACAGCCUGUUCCAUCAAGCAGAGUGGAUAAACAAACUCCAGCCUGUUCUUACAAAGCUCAGCAAUCAAAAGCAAGGAGUGACUCGUGUCUGCAGCCAUGGGGACACAUCCCAAAUCAUUACGUUGAGUGAAAAGAAGCCAGUCACAGAAGGGGACAUAAUGUAUGACUCCACAUAUUUGUGGAAAAAUUUAUCUGUGGUGGGAAAACAAAACAAAACAAAACAGAAGCGUGAUUGCAUCUGGAGGGUGGGGGCAGGGUGUGACUGAGAAGGGACUUGAGGGAGCAUUCUGGAAUGUUCCAGAGUCCUUCACCUGGGAGAGUUUCUUACUUUGCAUGUGUGGUAGAAUUCUUUCCUCACAUCUGUGUCCUCACCAUACUGCAGGUCCCUAGAGCCAGAGACAAGGUGUGGCUCACCACUGUCUCUCUAGUCCCAAGCACAGUAGCUGGCUUUGGCCAGAUACCACUUAAUGUUCAUGGAAGGAAGUAGAAGGAGAGGAGGAGGGUGGGGUGGCCCUGAGGCCAACCUGGCUGACCCAACUGACCUCCAGGCAUGGGGAGCACAGGGGAUCAGGGCUCUGAGCUUGGAGGUGGAGGUACAGCUCCAGGUUGGGACAUGUUCAGCCAGUGAUCUGAGCCAGUCCUGUUCCUAGGAGAUGGAACUGCUUGGACUUUGCCCUGUAGAGAGUCCUAGAGGCCGUCUAGUACACCUCCAUUCUUCCCUCCUUCCCUUGCUCCUUCACUGGGUCAGACCAGCAGCCCCAGGUGCCCACUCUUCAAAUCCUUCCCAGCUCAUCCCCAUUUUCUCCAGCAGGAAUUUCCUCAACCUCACCAGUUGCAUCCCAUAUUGGCAUCUACUUUUCGGAAGAUACAAGCUCAGAGUUCCCAUCAGGGCUUAGUGGAAACGAAUCGGACUAGUAUCCAGGAGGAUGCAGGUUUGAUCCCUGGCCUCACUCAGUGGGUUAAGGAUCUGCUGUUGCCAUGAGAUGUGGUGUAGGUUGCAGACGCAGCUCAGAUCUGGUUUAGCUGUGGCUGUGGCGCAAGUGAGCAGCUGUAGCUCUAAUUUGAUCCAUGGCCUGGGAAACUCCAUAUGCCAUGGGUGUGGCCCUAAACAGGCAAAAAAAAAAAAAAAAAAAAAAAGAAAAGAAAAAAAGAAAAGGAAACGAAGAUGCAGGUUCACAGAGAGGGAGGGGACAAACAUGUAAGGAAGGAAGCCAGACCUCCAAAAAGCUCCCCACUGCUUCAUGGUGACAGCAACUUCUAGUGGCCACCUUAUGUGGCUCUGUAUUGUAAUUUUCGUUUUUCUCAUCUCAGAGCCUUGCCUCCAUGGUCAGCUUCCUGAAGGGGGAAGGCAUGGCUAAUGUGCUAUGUAGUUUUGGCUUUUCCAGGACAGGAAAGCAGCACCUACCACGCCUUGUCCAUAGAGGAAGCAGAGUCCUGGGCCCUCAAACAAACAGCCAAACAAAGGAUGAAAAACACUGUUUUCCAAACUGUAGCUUGUGACCCAUUACUGGGUCAGUUGAGUGAGUCUCAACCACCAUUAAAAGAAAUUAAAAAAAAGAAACCCAAAAAAGAGAAACUGAGUCAAACAGAGCAGAACAAGGUGUAUGUAUCAGGAUGUAUCACAGAAAGAAGGGGUCAAUUCUGUGAUCUGGGCAUUUUGUUUCAGUUUUUACAGAUAGGCGUGUUUGUACCAGGUUGUGGGGUGAAAUAUAUUUCUUAACGAUGGUGGGUCAUGGUAAAAAAUGUUUGGAAGUAAGUUCCCAUCGUGGCUCAGUGGCUAACAAACCCAACUAGUAUCCAUGAGGAUGCAGGUUUGAUCCCUGGCCUCGGUCAUUGGGUUAAGUAUCUGGCGUUGCCGUGAACUGUGGUGUAAGUCACAGACAUGGCUCUGGAUCCCACGUUGCUGUGGCUGUGGUGUAGGAUGUCAGCUACAGCUCCGAUUGGACCCUUAGCCUGAGAACUUCCAUAUGCUGCGGGUGUGGCCCUAAAAAGACAAAAGACAAAAGACAAAAAAAAAAAAAAAAAAAAGCUUGGAAAACACUGAUAUACUGGCAUUGGCUAGUCCAGCAUUUCUCCAGGACACACUUAUCAACCAAAGUGUUCCUUUCGAAAGGAUUUCCUAAGGGAGUUCCCUCGUAGCUCAGCAGUGGGUGAGGUAUGUGGCAUCGUCACUGCUGUGGCACAGGUUCAAUUCCUGGCCCUGGAACUUCUGCAUGCCAGGGGUAUGACUAACAAACAAACAGACAAACAAAGGGAUGUCCUAGGCAAAUUGCUAGGACCCCCUGGAGCAGAUCACAGACUCACGGAGAGAAAAGUCCCCUCAGGUGACCUCAAUCUUCUUGGAGGUUCACAGGGCUUAGAGGCUUUAAAGACUGUGUCUGCAUCAUCAAGUCUAUGGAAUAUAGGGCUUUUUAAACAAGUUUGAGCACUCAAUGCCUCCUCCCUCUUUUCUGCUGAAUCGCAGAGCACCUGUAUCUCUCUCCCUAGACACAACCCUGGAGAGACACUGACCCAGCUCAUCCCCUGCUCCAUGGAUUACCAUACUCUCCUUGUUGGGGAGAUGGGGUUGCCAGGGAGGAGGCUGACCCCCACCCCUUGACAUCUGAGUUCCCACUCAGACGAUGAUUUUGCAUGCAGCUUCUUCAUACACUCAGAGACCCACUUGGGACAAGGACAUCAAAUGGCUUUUCCCAUUACUCUCCAAUAGGCCCCCAGGAUGCAUUUGCAUUCUCACCCCUGGCCCUUCUGUGCCAAGUGCAUGCAUUUGCAAGACAGUGGCCUGUUCCUGGGGUAACUCCUGGGCCAUGAAGAGAGGCAAGUUAAGUGGCCCAUGUGGGUACUGAGCUGUAACCUGGGUUUAUUCCACAUGCUUGGUGACACAGUGUUAAAUAGUCAGGUGCUCUCAGCAAAUGAAAGUCCUAUUGGCCCAACAGAACCUGCUGCUCACCUAUAAUUGGCAAGGAGCUUAGUCUGUCUUUGAGGACAAUCUGGGAGUUGGGAGGUCUCGGUUCUAUACUAUGUCCUUGCUGUGGAGACUGGGGAAGCCCCUGGACCUUAUGGAUAAAAUCAGGUGUCAGACUAAGUGACAGACAGUAGAGGCAAAAGUGGGUCUCAGAAGGCUUUAAUUAUGUCUUUGGUUGAACAGACAAAGAAACUGAAGCUCAGAGAGGCCAAAUAAUUUUUAUUUAUUUAUUUUUUUAAUUUUUAAAAAUUUUUUUUGUCUUUUUGCUAUUUCUUGGGCCGCUCCCGCGGCAUGUGGAGGUUCCCAGGCUAGGGUUCCAAUCGGAGCUGUAGCCACCGGCCUAUGCCAGAGCCACAGCAACGUGGGAUCCGAGCCACGUCUGCAACCUACACCACAGCUCAUGGCAACUCCGGAUCGUUAACCCACUGAGCAACAGCAGGGACCGAACCCGCAACCUCAUGGUUCCUAGUCGGAUUUGUUAACCACUGCGCCACGACGGGAAUUCCCCAAAUAAUUUUUAUUAGUCCACACAGCACACAUGUGAAGUCAGAAGAUGUCUAGCUCCUAUUUCAGCCCAUUCCCACCUGACCAGGUUGUCAUUCUAGGGUCCCUGCUAUAGCAGUACCUUCCAGCACAUAAAGUAAUCAGAGUAGAGGGGCAGAAGGCACACAUACUCACCUGAGAGGUCUUUAAAUGGCAUCUUAAAAAAGACAGGAAAAAAUUAUAGAAAUUGUAAUUGUUUAACAGCAAUAUUUGCAUACUAUGACAUUUCUAAGUGCUUAAAAAAAUCUUCUAAGCUCAAUAUAAGUACAUGAAACAUUUCUCCCAUUUCUGUUUGGCAAACUUCUUCCUUAGUUCUAAAUAAGUGGCAUUUAUAUUAUUGGGUAUUUGUCCAAACUCUUAAUUAAUCAAGUCU
rnacentral:lncRNA from 1 species